AAAAUAGCAUAGCCGAAUCACUCAAAGAGAGUGUACGGAGGACCCAUGUUGUUGGGGUGAACUUUGCAGCGAUGCAGAGCGGGGCGACCUUCUCCCGAACCCGUCAGCUAACUCCGGAGGCGUGGGAGGAAAU
rnacentral:sRNA from 2 species